rnacentral:rRNA from 1 species
UCAGUGAAUCAUCGAGUCUUUGAACGCACAUUGCGCCCCCUGGUAUUCCGGGGGGCAUGCCUGUCCGAGCGUCAUUGCUGCCCUCAAGCACGGCUUGUGUGUUGGGCCCCCGUCCCCCUCUCCCGGGGGACGGGCCCGAAAGGCAGCGGCGGCACC